UGCUUUUUAAGUAAUCCAGCUUUUUCUAAAUUAUUCAAAGUUGCCAUGUGCUCAAAUCCAUAGCUGUGGAGUAGCUCCCUCCUCAAAUAGUCAAAAUGCUUCUUGGGCAACCCUGAAUUUGUAACAGAAAGCAAUAUGAGAAACCGCAGAACACUGACAAGAGGUUCCUGCUUAUGGAUCAAUUCUUCAAUGUACUCAAAGCAUAUGUCAUAGCUCUG
rnacentral:misc_RNA from 1 species